rnacentral:lncRNA from 1 species
GCUGAAGUGCAAUGUUGUGAUCUCGGCUCACUGCAACCUCUGCCUCCCAGGUUCAAGCGAUUCUCCUGCUUUGGCCUCCUGAGUAGCUGGGAUUGCAGAAAUUUCCAAGGAAACUAUAUUUCUUACAUUGAUGGAAAUGUAUGGAAAGCAUACAGUUGGACUGAGAAACUAAUUCUCAGAGAAAAUAACUUGACUGAAUUACACAAGGAUUCAUUUGAAGGCCUGCUAUCCCUCCAGUAUUUAGAUUUAUCCUGCAAUAAAAUACAGUCUAUUGAAAGACAUACAUUUGAACCACUACCAUUUUUGAAGUUUAUAAAUCUUAGUUGCAAUGUAAUUACAGAACUCAGCUUUGGAACAUUUCAGGCCUGGCACGGAAUGCAGUUUUUACAUAAGUUGAUCUUACCUAGCCAUAUGGCCUGCUGCCUCUGCCAACUUAAAAACAGCAUUGAGGCUGUCUGCAAGACAGUCAAGCUGCAUUGCAACAGUGCAUGUCUGACAAACACCAUACAUUGUCGUUUAGGAUUGGGUGUGUGUGUCUCCUCUCUGAAUGGCACUCAAAUGUUUGCUGACUCCUACUCUGCGUGACUGGGGUGUACAGCUAUGGACUGAUGCAUCCCAUCCCAUCAUCUUUCACGAGCAAAGCAGUCUCUUUUUUGACAGCUGAAGAAGAAUCUGUAGGGAAUCCAGAAGGAGCAUUCAUGAAGAUGUUACAAGCCCGGAAGAAUUACACAAGCACUGAGCUGACUGUUGAGCCGGAGGAGCCCUCAGACAGCAGUGGCAUCAACUUGUCAGGCUUUGGGAGUGAGCAGCUAGACACCAAUGACGAGAGUGAUGUUAUCAGUGCACUAAGUUACAUUUGCCAUAUUUCUCAGCAGUAAACCUAGAUGUGGAAUCAAUGUUACUACCGUUCAUUAAACUGCCAACCACAGGAAACAGCCUGGCAAAGAUUCAAACUGUAGGCCAAAACCGGCAAAAAGUGAAUAGAGUCCUCAUGGGCCCAAUGAGCAUCCAGAAAAGGCACUUCAAAGAGGUGGGAAGGCAGAGCAUCAGGAGGGAACAGGGUGCCCAGGCAUCUGUGGAGAACGCUGCCGAAGAAAAAAGGCUCGGGAGUCCAGCCCCAAGGGAGCUGGAACAGCCUCACACACAGCAGGGGCCUGAGAAGUUAGCGGGAAACGCCAUCUACACCAAGCCUUCGUUCAGCCAAGAGCAUAAGGCAGCAGUCUCUGUGCUGACACCCUUCUCCAAGGGCGCGCCUUCUACCUCCAGCCCUGCAAAAGCCCUACCACAGAUGAGAGACAGAUUGAAAGACAACACACACUAUUUCCAUUUUAGAAAGUGCAAAGGCUAGAGUUACAAAUAUGAAGGCUUCUAAACCAAUUUCACAUUCCAGAAAAAAA